AUCUUGGUUCAGGAUGAACGCUAGCUACAGGCUUAACACAUGCAAGUCGAGGGGCAGCAUUGGAGUAGCAAUACUCAGAUGGCGACCGGCGCACGGGUGAGUAACACGUAUCCAACCUGCCGCUUACUCGGGGAUAGCCUUUCGAAAGAAAGAUUAAUACCCGAUGGUAUAAAGAGUUCGCAUGUUCUCUUUAUUAAAGAAUUUCGGUAAGCGAUGGGGAUGCGUUCCAUUAGAUUGUUGGCGGGGUAACGGCCCACCAAGUCUACGAUGGAUAGGGGUUCUGAGAGGAAGGUCCCCCACAUUGGAACUGAGACACGGUCCAAACUCCUACGGGAGGCAGCAGUGAGGAAUAUUGGUCAAUGGACGAGAGUCUGAACCAGCCAAGUAGCGUGAAGGAUGACUGCCCUAUGGGUUGUAAACUUCUUUUAUAAGGGAAUAAAGUGAGGGACGUGUCCCUUUUUGUAUGUACCUUAUGAAUAAGGAUCGGCUAACUCCGUGCCAGCAGCUGC
rnacentral:rRNA from 1 species